ACUGCACCAGUCCAGAGGGUGCGCUCCUCGAGGAAGCGAGCAGUUUCUGGAGCAGCAGGGAAAAACGGCUUAAAAAUGUAGCCGAAACGCGCCUCGGGUUCUGCUCGAAGCAGCGAGCAGCGCCUCUCGCCAUUGUCCGUUGUUGUCACCUCGAAUCUCGUCACGAUGUAUUAUCGAUGUAUUUAAAUGUAUCGUUGUAUUCGUUUUAUCGUGUGUAAUGAAUAUUCCCAAGUGUCUGAUCGUAUAAUUGUUGCAUCAAUUGCUAUCACGCCUUUGGUAUAAUAUCUUGAAAUGGGAUGAAUUAUAUUAUACGUAUAUUCGUAAUAUACUUGAGACCGUGAUGUAUUUGUUAUACGUGUACAUCUGCACCAUCAUUUUUCCCGAGGAGUUUACGCGGUUGUAAAUUUUUCAUCGAAUUCCCAAGUUUUUGACACGAGAAAAAGCUUCGAAGAUACGACCGAAGCCCUUUGAAAUCCAGUUUCAUCAGCUGAUCGACAUAAUUCCAAUCAAAUUCACAAUGGUUGCUGAAAAAUACGCCAGCGCUGAGCCCGAGCUCAAGCAGGAGCUCAAGGGGAUCGCCGAGAAAAUUGUUUCAAUCGGCAAGGGUAUCUUGGCCGCAGAUGAGUCGACCGCCACCAUCGGCAAGCGUCUUCAGGACAUCAACGUUGAAAACAACGAAGCAAAUCGCAAGGCUUACCGCCAGUUGCUUUUCACGACCGAUAAGGAGGUGAUCAGUCAGCACGUUUCGGGCGUGAUCCUCUUCCACGAGACUCUCUACCAGAAGGCCGACGACGGUACCCCGUUCGUAGAGCUUCUGCGUCAGCGCAACAUCAUCCCCGGUAUCAAGGUCGACAAGGGCGUCGUUCCCCUAUUCGGUACCAAGGACGAAUGCACCACCCAGGGUCUCGACGACCUCCAGGCACGCUGCAUCCAGUACAAAAAGGACGGAUGCGACUUCGCCAAGUGGCGCUGCGUCCUCAAGAUCACCAAGGACACACCCAGCAAACUCGCCAUCCUGGAGAACGCCAACGUCCUCGCACGCUACGCCAGCAUCUGCCAGAGCGCCCGCAUCGUUCCCAUCGUCGAGCCGGAAAUCCUUCCCGACGGUGACCACGAUCUUGCCCGUUGCCAACAGGUCACUGAGGAGGUACUCGCCGCCGUAUACAAGGCCCUCUCCGACCACCACGUUUACCUCGAGGGAACACUUUUGAAACCCAACAUGGUCACUCCCGGUCAAAGCUGCCCGAAGAAAGCUUCGCCCCAGGAAAUCGCGGCCGCGACUGUAACGGCCCUCCAGCGCACCGUGCCACCAGCAGUCACUGGUGUCACCUUCUUGAGCGGUGGACAGUCGGAGGAGGAGGCUUCGGUUAAUCUUGACGCGAUCAACAAGUUCCCCGGAAAGAAACCCUGGGCUCUGACCUUCAGCUACGGACGUGCCCUUCAGGCUUCCGUCCUCCGCGCGUGGGCCGGCAAACCGGAACAAAUCGCGGCCGGACAACAGGAACUGAUCAAGAGAGCCAAGGCGAACGGCGCAGCUUGUCAAGGCAAAUACGUUGCGGGCAGUAUUUCGAGUAAAGCUGCAGGUUCCUCGCUCUUCGUCAAAUCACACGCCUACUAAUUUUUGCGACAAGUCCUUCCGUUCCGCACCGUAACUGUAUAUCACAAGCAGGCCAACAGCGACGCAGCUCAAGGAAAAUACGCCGGUGGAGUAACUGGAGUAGCGGGUGACGCUGGUCUUUUCGUAGCCAAUCAUGCGUACUAAUUUAUAAACGCUAUCAAGAACACAGUUGAUGAAUAUUACCUCGCGCAAUCAUCGCCACGACAUCCGCGGAAAAGGAAGUAAUUUAUUACGUUAAAAAUAUAGAAACAUCUGCAUGAGAACAAACGACGAAAUGUAAGAAAAAACGGAAACAUCGAUGGUUUAUAAUAACAAGAGAAAAAUAAAACAAGUAAAUGUACUUGGAGUUGAA
rnacentral:misc_RNA from 1 species